UCUAGGAACUCUACUAUGAUUAAUUUGGACGGUCAUCUUCCUCUUUCCAACAAAUACUCCAUGGAAAAAGAAAAUAGUAAAUGAAUUGAUUGUUCCGAAGCCCAUUAUUCCCUCCAUAAUCGUAAUCCCUAAUCAUGCUACCUGAACCAGAUUCAUCUUCUCAGUAUUCAAGCCUCCAUCUUCACAAAUUUCGAAACGAUACGUUUGAUCGUCUACCGGUGGAGAAGAAAUGUUUGAUUCGCGAAUUCGAAGGCAAUGUUCUAGUUGAACGGUACAAUAAUCGUAUACUUGUCUUCAUCGUAUUUUCUGUAUGAUGAUAUGGAUUCUCUAUAAAUUCAUCUUCUUUCGGUUCUGCUUUAUGUGAACUGACAGCUAUGAGCUAUGACAAUGUCGAAUUAAGUGUCUUUACAAUUGGAAUUUAAGUUUAGCAAGUUGCUUGAGAAUGUUGAAAAAUAAAGAUAAUCCCGAAAUCGGCUAAAACUUGUGAAAUGUUAUUUCAGACUUGAUCUUUAAAUGAUUGAGUUUGGCAUUUUAAGAAUCAAUGAAACUUUCAUGUGUAAGUGUAUGCUUUAAGAAGAAGAAAUUUUUUAGUUUUUGUUUUUUGCUCUGGUUUGUUUGGUUGUGGACUUGUGGGAUAUUGUAGUUUUAACGGUGUUACAGCAGGGGAACGUUUACACUAGAGAUCGAGCGGAUAAUCUUUAGUGGAGUCGGAAUGAGGAGCUCCUUGUUGCUAAUUACAAGUCAGUGUAUAUUGUAUGCAGAGAGUGCUUGGAGAUGUCAGUAUGUUCGUUGUUGGCAAGGAUGAAUACGAUGAACUUGCCUUGUCAUAACCUCAGCCAUGAAGGAUUUAUGUGAGGAACCUCCAACCGAAUGCCCUUUCCUCGACAAAUAUGGCAAAAUAUGUCUGUGCCUGGACGAGAUUGUCUGGAAGAGUCUGGUGGAGAACACCGACAAAGAGACUUGUAUGAUCGAAACGACCAACUGACUUCUAAUCGAUCGACAGACCACAUGCAUUUUUGCUACGAUUGCUGCGUGGAAAAUGCUCAUUCAUGGAUUUGAGUCGUAAUAAUCUUCUGCAGAUUGUUUGUUUGUUUUACGCCUUUAAUUUGUAUGCGUAAGCAUAGACCAAUUGUUAAAUUCAGAUCAUCUUUUUGGAUAUAAUCUUAAUUUUGUGUUGGACUUUUUUUAAGAAUAUGACAUCUCAUUUUGUAUUGUUUGAAGAGAUACUAAUUUUUUUUUAAUCCUGGCCUUGCUUUUGAUCUA